UGAUUUUUCAUUGGUGGUUCUAUUAAAGUUGACAUUUUUCUUUUCCUUCGUAGUUUUUUGAUUGGAUUUAUUGCUUUAAAUUUUUCAGGAAUCACUUUGCAGUCAGUUUUGGGACAGAGAAAGUUUUGUUGAUGGUCCUAUUCGAUGUCUUCUUUGUAACCUAGAAGGUGAAUUUCCCUUCAAGACUGUGGAACUUAUUCGCCUCUUAUCAUCCCUAUCUGAAGGAACUUGGCCAACAGAAUGUGUGAGAAAAAUGUCUCUUUCUCCAUCAAUUGGAGGAGAAAAUGAUACUUAAUUUUGAAGGCUUUGUGUUGGGAAGCUGUAGAAUAUUUUGUGCUGAAAGUGGUAACUUUUCAAUAUGUUGAAUAUUUAAGACUACUUGAAUACUUAAAGAAUAUUUUGUUGUUGAUGACAGUGUUGAAUGUUUUAAACUAAUUUGUGGAUUGUUAAUACAAUGUUGAAUGUUUUUACUUUUUGUUA